rnacentral:rRNA from 1 species
GUGGGGAAUAUUAGGCAAUGGGGGAAACCCUGACCUAGCAACGCCGCGUGAAGGAAGAAGGCUUUCGGGUUGUAAACUUCUUUUACCAGGGACGAAGGACGUGACGGUACCUGGAGAAAAAGCCACGGCUAACUACGUGCCAGCAGCCGCGGUAAUACGUAGGUGGCAAGCGUUGUCCGGAUUUACUGGGUGUAAAGGGCGUGUAGGCGGAGCAGCAAGUCAGAAGUGAAAUCUCCGGGCUUAACCCGGAAACUGCUUUUGAAACUGUUGCCCUUGAGUAUCGGAGAGGCAGGCGGAAUUCCUAGUGUAGCGGUGAAAUGCGUAGAUAUUAGGAAGAACACCAGUGGCGAAGGCGGCCUGCUGGACGACAACUGACGCUGAGGCGCGAAAGCGUGGGGAGCAAACAGGAUUAGAUACCCUAGUAGUCC